GACGAACGCUGGCGGCGCGCCUAAUACAUGCAAGUUGAGCGCUGAAGGUUGGUACUUGUACCGACUGGAUGAGCAGCGAACGGGUGAGUAACGCGUGGGGAAUCUGCCUUUGAGCGGGGGACAACAUUUGGAAACGAAUGCUAAUACCGCAUAAAAACUUUAAACACAAGUUUUAAGUUUGAAAGAUGCAAAUGCAUCACUCAAAGAUGAUCCCGCGUUGUAUUAGCUAGUUGGUGAGGUAAAGGCUCACCAAGGCGAUGAUACAUAGCCGACCUGAGAGGGUGAUCGGCCACAUUGGGACUGAGACACGGCCCAAACUCCUACGGGAGGCAGCAGUAGGGAAUCUUCGGCAAUGGACGAAAGUCUGACCGAGCAACGCCGCGUGAGUGAAGAAGGUUUUCGGAUCGUAAAACUCUGUUGGUAGAGAAGAACGUUGGUGAGAGUGGAAAGCUCAUCAAGUGACGGUAACUACCCAGAAAGGGACGGCUAACUACGUGCCAGCCGCCGCGGUAA
rnacentral:rRNA from 1 species